CCUACGGGAGGCAGCAGUGAGGAAUAUUGGUCAAUGGACGAGAGUCUGAACCAGCCAAGUAGCGUGAAGGAUGACUGCCCUAUGGUUUGUAAACUUCUUUUAUAAAGGAAUAAAACGAGGCACGUGUGCCUUUUUGCAUGUACUUUAUGAAUAAGGAUCGGCUAACUCCGUGCCAGCAGCCGCGGUAAUACGGAGGAUCCGAGCGUUAUCCGUAUUUAUUGGGUUUAAAGGGAGCGUAGAUGGGUUGUUAAGUCAGUUGUGAAAGUUUGCGGCUCAACCGUAAAAUUGCAAUUGAUACUGGCAGUCUUGAGUACAGUUGAGGUAGGCGGAAUUCGUGGUGUAGCGGUGAAAGGCUUAGAUAUCACGAAGAACCCCGAUUGCGAAGGCAGCUUACUAAACUGUGACUGACAUUGAUGCUCGAAAGUGUGGGUAUCAAACAGGAUUAGAUACCCCAGUAGUC
rnacentral:rRNA from 1 species